AAUCAACGCUGGCGGCGUGCCUCAGACAUGCAAGUCGAACGCGAAAGCCCCCUUCGGGGGGCAAGUAGAGUGGCGCACGGGUGAGUAACACGUAGGUAAUCUACCUUUGGAUGGGGAAUAACCACCGGAAACGGUGGCUAAUACCGCAUAAUGCAGCGGCACCUAAUGGUGACAGUUGUUAAAGCGGGGGAUCGCAGGACCUCGCGUCUAAAGAGGAGCCUGCGGCGGAUUAGCUAGUUGGUAAGGUAACGGCUUACCAAGGCGAUGAUCCGUAGCCGGCCUGAGAGGGCGGUCGGCCACACUGACACUGACAUACGGGUCAGACUCCUACGGGAGGCAGCAGUCGGGAAUUUUGGGCAAUGGGCGAAAGCCUGACCCAGCAACGCCGCGUGAAGGAUGAAAUCCUUCGGGAUGUAAACUUCGCAAGAACGGGAAGAAUAAGCCGGUGUCAACACCACCGGCGAUGACGGUACUGUUUGUAAGCUCCGGCUAACUCCGUGCCAGCAGCCGCGGUAAUAC
rnacentral:rRNA from 1 species